rnacentral:rRNA from 1 species
GACGAACGCUGGCGGCGUGCCUAAUACAUGCAAGUCGAACGAACUCUGGUAUUGAUUGGUGCUUGCAUCAUGAUUUACAUUUGAGUGAGUGGCGAACUGGUGAGUAACACGUGGGAAACCUGCCCAGAAGCGGGGGAUAACACCUGGAAACAGAUGCUAAUACCGCAUAACAACUUGGACCGCAUGGUCCGAGUUUGAAAGAUGGCUUCGGCUAUCACUUUUGGAUGGUCCCGCGGCGUAUUAGCUAGAUGGUGGGGUAACGGCUCACCAUGGCAAUGAUACGUAGCCGACCUGAGAGGGUAAUCGGCCACAUUGGGACUGAGACACGGCCCGAACUCCUAUGGGAGGCAGCAGUAGGGAAUCUUCCACAAUGGACGAAAGUCUGAUGGAGCAACGCCGCGUGAGUGAAGAAGGGUUUCGGCUCGUAAAACUCUGUUGUUAAAGAAGAACAUAUCUGAGAGUAACUGUUCAGGUAUUGACGGUAUUUAACCAGAAAGUCACGGCUAACUACGUGCCAGCAGCCGCGGUAAUACGUAGGUGGCAAGCGUUGUCCGGAUUUAUUGGGCGUAAAGCGAGCGCAGGCGGUUUUUUAAGUCUGAUGUGAAAGCCUUCGGCUCAACCGAAGAAGUGCAUCGGGAACUGGGAAACUUGAGUGCAGAAGAGGACAGUGGAACUCCAUGUGUAGCGGUGAAAUGCGUAGAUAUAUGGAAGAACACCAGUGGCGAAGGCGGCUGUCUGGUCUGUAACUGACGCUGAGGCUCGAAAGUAUGGGUAGCAAACAGGAUUAGAUACCCUGGUAGCCCAUACCGUAAACGAUGAAUGCUAAGUGUUGGAGGGUUUCCGCCCUUCAGUGCUGCAGCUAACGCAUUAAGCAUUCCGCCUGGGGAGUACGGCCGCAAGGCUGAAACUCAAAGGAAUUGACGGGGGCCCGCACAAGCGGUGGAGCAUGUGGUUUAAUUCGAAGCUACGCGAAGAACCUUACCAGGUCUUGACAUACUAUGCAAAUCUAAGAGAUUAGACGUUCCCUUCGGGGACAUGGAUACAGGUGGUGCAUGGUUGUCGUCAGCUCGUGUCGUGAGAUGUUGGGUUAAGUCCCGCAGCGAGCGCAACCCUUAUUAUCAGUUGCCAGCAUUAAGUUGGGCACUCUGGUGAGACUGCCGGUGACAAACCGGAGGAAGGUGGGGAUGACGUCAAAUCAUCAUGCCCCUUAUGACCUGGGCUACACACGUGCUACAAUGGAUGGUACAACGAGUUGCGAACUCGCGAGAGUAAGCUAAUCUCUUAAAGCCAUUCUCAGUUCGGAUUGUAGGCUGCAACUCGCCUACAUGAAGUCGGAAUCGCUAGUAAUCGCGGAUCAGCAUGCCGCGGUGAAUACGUUCCCGGGCCUUGUACACACCGCCCGUCACACCAUGAGAGUUUGUAACACCCAAAGUCGGUGGGGUAACCUUUUAGGAACCAGCCGCCUAAGGUGGGACAGAUGAUUAGGGUG